rnacentral:rRNA from 1 species
UGGGCAAUCUGCCCUUCACUCUGGGACAAGCCCUGGAAACGGGGUCUAAUACCGGAUAACACUCUGUCCUGCAUGGGACGGGGUUAAAAGCUCCGGCGGUGAAGGAUGAGCCCGCGGCCUAUCAGCUUGUUGGUGGGGUAAUGGCCUACCAAGGCGACGACGGGUAGCCGGCCUGAGAGGGCGACCGGCCACACUGGGACUGAGACACGGCCCAGACUCCUACGGGAGGCAGCAGUGGGGAAUAUUGCACAAUGGGCGAAAGCCUGAUGCAGCGACGCCGCGUGAGGGAUGACGGCCUUCGGGUUGUAAACCUCUUUCAGCAGGGAAGAAGCGAAAGUGACGGUACCUGCAGAAGAAGCGCCGGCUAACUACGUGCCAGCAGCCGCGGUAAUACGUAGGGCGCAAGCGUUGUCCGGAAUUAUUGGGCGUAAAGAGCUCGUAGGCGGCUUGUCACGUCGGAUGUGAAAGCCCGGGGCUUAACCCCGGGUCUGCAUUCGAUACGGGCUAGCUAGAGUGUGGUAGGGGAGAUCGGAAUUCCCUGGUGUAGCGGUGAAAUGCGCAGAUAUCAGGAGGAACCACCGGUGGCGAAGGCGGAUCUCUGGGCCAUUACUGACGCUGAGGAGCGAAAGCGUGGGGAGCGAACAGGAUUAGAUACCCUGGUAGUCCACGCCGUAAACGUUGGGAACUAGGUGUUGGCGACAUUCCACGUCGUCGGUGCCGCAGCUAACGCAUUAAGUUCCCCGCCUG